rnacentral:tRNA from 1 species
GUGGGUAUAGCUCAGUGGUAGAACAUGUGCUUAGCAUGCAUGAGGUCCUGGAUUCUAUCCCUAGUACCUCCA